CCCAGACUCCUACGGGAGGCAGCAGUGAGGAAUAUUGGUCAAUGGCCGAGAGGCUGAACCAGCCAAGUCGCGUGAGGGAAGACGGCCCUACGGGUUGUAAACCUCUUUUGUCGGGGAGCAAAGCGAACCACGUGUGGUUCAUUGAGAGUACCCGAAGAAAAAGCAUCGGCUAACUCCGUGCCAGCAGCCGCGGUAAUACGGAGGAUGCGAGCGUUAUCCGGAUUUAUUGGGUUUAAAGGGUGCGUAGGCGGCGCGUUAAGUCGGGGGUUAAAUGGGGGGCCUCAACCCCUCCCCGCCAUUGAAACUGGCGUUCUUGAGUGGAAGAGAAGUAUGCGGAAUGCGUGGUGUAGCGGUGAAAUGCAUAGAUAUCACGCAGAACCCCGAUUGCGAAGGCAGCAUGCCGGCUUCCGACUGACGCUGAAGCACGAAAGCGUGGGGAUCGAUCAGGAUUAGAUACCCUUGUAGAC
rnacentral:rRNA from 1 species